UGGGGAAUAUUGCACAAUGGGCGCAAGCCUGAUGCAGCCAUGCCGCGUGUAUGAAGAAGGCCUUCGGGUUGUAAAGUACUUUCAGCGGGGAGGAAGGUGUUGAGGUUAAUAACCUCAGCAAUUGACGUUACCCGCAGAAGAAGCACCGGCUAACUCCGUGCCAGCAGCCGCGGUAAUACGGAGGGUGCAAGCGUUAAUCGGAAUUACUGGGCGUAAAGCGCACGCAGGCGGUCUGUCAAGUCGGAUGUGAAAUCCCCGGGCUCAACCUGGGAACUGCAUUCGAAACUGGCAGGCUAGAGUCUUGUAGAGGGGGGUAGAAUUCCAGGUGUAGCGGUGAAAUGCGUAGAGAUCUGGAGGAAUACCGGUGGCGAAGGCGGCCCCCUGGACAAAGACUGACGCUCAGUUGCGAAAGCGUGGGGAGCAAACA
rnacentral:rRNA from 1 species